UGGGGAAUAUUGGACAAUGGGGGCAACCCUGAUCCAGCAAUGCCGCGUGUGUGAAGAAGGCCUUCGGGUUGUAAAGCACUUUUAUCAGGAACGAAACACGCAGAUCUAAUACGUCUGCGGACUGACGGUACCUGAGGAAUAAGCACCGGCUAACUUCGUGCCAGCAGCCGCGGUAAUACGAAGGGUGCAAGCGUUACUCGGAAUUACUGGGCGUAAAGGGUGCGUAGGGUGGGUCGUUUAAGUCCGUUGUGAAAUCCCUGGGCUCAACCUGGGAAUGGCAGUGGAUACUGGACGGCUAGAAUGCGGUAGAGGGUAGUGGAAUUCCCGGUGUAGCAGUGAAAUGCGUAGAGAUCGGGAGGAACACCAGUGGCGAAGGCGGCUACCUGGACCAGCAUUGACACUCAAGCACGAAAGCGUGGGGAGCAAACAGGAUUAGAUACCCUGGUAGUCCACGCCCUAAACGAUGCGAACUGGACGUUGGGAGCAACUUGGCUCUCAGUGUCGAAGCUAACGCGUUAAGUUC
rnacentral:rRNA from 1 species